AUAGGGACCUCACACGGUCGUGCUCAGGCCCUAAAUAUAAUCUUAGCAAAUUCAAUAGGCCCUAAUAAAGUCCAGAGGCAUUGAACUUUGUUUAUGAGUGGGCUUUGGCGCCAUCUAGUGUGUCUGCUGUGGUACCACAACUGAGAACAUUCGUAAAUCAACACUGUACUCAGGCUUCUGAGUUUCAACCAGAUGACUCCUUACACUGCACAGCACACUGUUCUGAAGGACAGGAUGAGGGAUUUGAGAAAUUAUGGAACAGGGACAGUCAAAAGGUAGAAACACUGUGUUUACAUGUUUAUUGGACAAGCAAGGCUGCUGCUGUUUCUGUGUCUCUCUCUUCUGCUUAAUCUCAGUUGUUCCAGGGAGAGUUUUGGCGGCAUGUGGCGUUGGCUAAGCCUGCUGAUUGGAGAUGGAGGGAUCUGGGGAGGUGGAUUCACACUCGGAGUCGGCUGACUGACUAAAAGCCCGUGGAAGGGGAUCCGAGAACACUGUACAGUAAAGAGGGCUGGAGUCAUUGUUCCAUGCCCUGACUCCCCUGUGCGCACACCCAUUUUUCCAGUAAAGAAAAUCCGGGAAGAUGGUCAACCUACAGAAUGGAGGACCUGCAGCCAGCAUGAGACGCACAUCCCAUGGGUGAUAACCCUCCGUGAUGAAACGCUCACAUGGAAAGACACACUGUCGGAAUCGCUUCGACAUGAUCUGCUGCUUCGUCUCCCCAGCGAGCAAGAAGUCGUCUAGAAUACGUCUGAAAGACGUAAUUGUUAGACAUCCAGAAGACGUCCUCACAGGAGCCAGAAUGAAAGUUUUUUAUACGUCUUUUCAGGAUGUUGUUUAGACGUCAAUUAAAGACGUGCUACAGAUGUAAUUGUUAGACAUCCAGAAGACGUCCUCACAGGAGCCAGAAUGAAAGUUUUUUAUACGUCUUUUCUGGACAUUGUUUAGACGUCAAUUAAAGACGUACUACAGACGUAAUUGUUAGACAUCCAGAACACGUCCUCACAGGAGCCAGAAUGAAAGUUUUUUAUACGUCUUUUCAGGAUGUUGUUUAGACGUCAAUUAAAGACGUGCUACAGACGUAAUUGUUAGACAUCCAGAAGACGUCCUCACAGGAGCCAGAAUGAAAGUUUUUUAUACGUCUUUUCAGGAUGUUGUUUAGACGUCAAUUAAAGACGUGCUACAGAUGUAAUUGUUAGACAUCCAGAA